rnacentral:misc_RNA from 1 species
GAUGAAGAACGCAGCGAAAUGCGAUACGUAAUGUGAAUUGCAAAUUCAGUGAAUCAUCGAGUCUUUGAACGCACAUUGCGCCCCCUGGUAUUCCGGGGGGCAUGCCUGUCCGAGCGUCAUUGCUGCCCUCAAGCACGGCUUGUGUGUUGGGCCCCGUCCUCCGAUCCCGGGGGACGGGCCCGAAAGGCAGCGGCGGCACCGCGUCCGGUCCUCGAGCGUAUGGGGCAUUGUCACCCGCUCUGUAGGCCCGGCCGGCGCUUGCCGAUCAACCCAAAUUUUUAUCCAGGUUGACCUCGGAUCAGGUAGGGAUACCCGCUGAACUUAAGCAUAUCAAUAAGCGGAGGA